rnacentral:lncRNA from 1 species
UUGGGUGUUACAUUCUUCCUUGCUUGGAGAUCCAAAAGGAACUUGGGAAUUGUGCCACCACCGUGCGUGCUUCGUCUUCUUCCUAUCUCUUUGCAGACGGAAACAGAGCCGCAAUGUCUUUUUCCUAUCUCUCUCCAAACAGAAAACAGAGCUACUAUCACCACCGUCUCUUCUUGUUUCAAAGAAAAAAGCCAGGAAAACCUACUAUUAACGACCAUCUAUUCUUCCUUUUCCCAUUUUUUUCACUGGUGGUCCAACCGACCAUCCUUACUCUUUUUUUUUUCUUCUUCCUGACUUUCUCUCUGUUUUUUUUAUUCUUUCCUCAAUUUGAUACCAAUUGUUAAGAAAAUAAAUUCUCCAAAUAUGUACACAGUCACAUAAAGUAAAUAGUAAUAAAAAAAAUUUAAUAUUAUUAGGUAAGUAGCGGUAAAAUUGAAAAUAAAUUUUUAUUAUGAUAAAAAAUAAAAAAAUAUCACCAAUAUAAUUAUAAAAUCUUAUAUACACAAAGUACUCGCGUUUUCAUCAAAAUAUUUUCAUAACGCACUAAAAUAUUUUCCAAAAUAUAUACAGAUAAUUAACCUACAUCAACAGUAUGUAUUUUAUAUAUACAUGUACUGGCAUAUAAGUUUAGAUUUUCCACAAAUAAUUCAAUGUAGUUGGAUGAUUUAACUCGUAAAU